GCCAGAAGCCAUAUCACCCUGCAACUCACAACUGGCAACCCACUGACGCUCAGCAGGUGUGAGCCUGGUCAUUACCUGGAUGGGAGACCUCCUGGGAAAAACUAAGGUUGCUGCUGGAA
ensembl:rRNA 5S_rRNA 5S ribosomal RNA